UUCAUUUACAAUCACUGGUCGAAUUGGUGUGGCAACAUAAGAACAAGAAACAAGCGAUAUCUAUCCAGCUGGCUUGCAUAAUGAUCCCAUUUCUGAAACCAGCUAAUAUAAAAUGGUGGCUGCUAUAGAACAACUUAACAAGAAAUGAGAGAUUUGAAUGCUCCAGCAGAAAACCAUGCAGAUACUGGCUGGGACCAAAAAUGAUGAUUUAUUACCAGCACUCUCUGUUGCAUAUUCCACCUGCACCCCACAAGAUAGUUUACAAUUUUACAAUGAUGUACAUGAAAAUCGUAUGUAGCAGUCUGUCAAAUUGUUGAUGGCUAGUUCGGGAAUGUGGAAACUUGCCACAACUGACAAUAUCUGCCUAUCUGCCUUUGCUUUUAAAGGCAGGGGAGGGGGUAUGGGAACCAGAUAUGCCUCCUGCCUUUGACUUUGAGUCAAAAUUUUGAGCACCUAAGAAAGGAAUCGGCGUAUUAAACGGCAUUGUUUUGGGCUUGCAGUCAAAUUAGCUUAUUAAAACCCUCUAAGGUUUAGGAAUUUUCAAUUUAUUUGCUACAGUGUAUCCUUUUGGACAUUGACGAACCAAUCUUUUUAUCAGGACUUUUCGGGGAGGAGAAAAAUGGCUAUGCGAAGUGGAAAUUGCUAUGGGAAAAAUGGCUAUGGGAACCAAUCUUUUUUCAACAGAUUCGAGUUUAUUUGAUCGGUCCAUAGCUGCAAUUGCCGCUGAAGCAUAUCGGGCUGCUGAACAAAUUCCACCUUCAACGACCGUCUUUGUCUCCGGGCUUAGCCGAAGAACUACAAACCAAGAACUUCGUAAGGCGUUUGCUAAUUUUGGUCAUGUUAUUCAUGAUUAGUUUUAACAUCAUGGUACUAAAGACUCAAGGGCAGUAAUGUGAUGUAUGUAGUGAUUCAAUUCAACUGACAGAAUAAUUAAGAUCGCUAUUCUCUAACCAAGCACUGCGAAGGCUUUGGGUUUGUGAGAUAAGCCAAUUUUAGAAGAUGCAGAAAAGGGAAUGAAAGGAAUGGAUGGACAGUUGUUCGAUGGAAGGUUGAUAUUUGCAGAGCAUGCAAGACCAAAAGGUAUCCCAAGACUAUCAGCAGCCUCAGAUAUUGAUCAGCAUGCCACCUCACCAUAAAUCAAACAUGUUGUCUAACAAUGCAAAUAUUAUUAUAUCAGCAUGGCUCAAAGCAAUUGGCAUGCUUAAGCUCAAAGUAUUUGGCCUAUCCAUUUGACACUAACCUAAUAUAAUAGUUUUCAUAUUGGAAGACUGAUUCCCAUCUGUGGACUGUGGUUCUGAUAUAAUCAUUUUUGUGAUGGAACAUGCCUAAUCUGUCCUAAUUCUAAAUCCAUGCUAGUGAUUCAAAGCUCAAAGUCCACAAUAUAAUGGUUCUAACAAAUAUACUUUGGUUCUACUGGUUUUUAUAAAUUCGAAUUCAAAUUAUGUUGUAAUUUUGCAUUUCCCUGUUUCUUAUUAAUGAAUGAUUUAUGGUUGUAGGGUAAAGAUUGAGGACUUUGUUACGUGAAUUAUGGCAACAUCAUGAAGUCUAAGCUUCUCAAAUUCAGGCACGUUUAAGUGAUACGAAGACAAGCAAAUGAACAAAUUAUUUCAAACUGGUCCAUUCCAGACCAUCGACAAACUAACUUCGGUCAUAUGUCUCAUUUGGAUCGUGCUGUCAUUUCCAAAUGAAUUGUCAAUUUGUAAUGAGCAAUCAAUCCAUAACUCUAGCAAGCUGCAACUCAUUUGUUCAAAGAGACCAUGAUCAAACAAAGGCUGAGCCUCAGCAUAAUAAGUUGAGCCAAGCAAAAGUGAUUUUUUUUUGGUAAAAAAAAAUUCAAAAAUAGAUAGACUGUUUAAUCUCUCAAAUCAAAAUAAAAUGUAUUAUACCUGAUAGUUUAAAAUAAAUAUCUGACAGUUUAAAAUAAAUGAUUACAAAUCAUUCAUUUGAAAUGAUUCCAAAUAGAACUCAGAACCCAAAAUCUCUUCAUCAAGAAUGAUGAAUCUUAACCAAUUGAACUAAUUACUUGUUGUUAAAAUCGUUUU